rnacentral:tRNA from 2 species
AGAAAUUUAGGUUAACAACAGACCAAAAGCCUUCAAAGCUUUAAGUAGAAGUGAAAAUCUCCUAAUUUCUG